rnacentral:ncRNA from 12 species
GUUGAAUUGAAUACUGCGCCUGCGCGCGGGGGAAUGCGGUGAAAUGCCGCAGCGGCCCCGCCACUGUGACCGGAAGGAAGUCAGGAGACCUGCGCGCGGGAAGGGAUGUUAU